rnacentral:rRNA from 1 species
AAAACAUCUUCUCUUGAUUUUAUAUUUGAGAUAGGGCCUGCCCAAUGAUUUUUUAAUGGCCGCGGUAUUUUGACCGUGCAAAGGUAGCAUAAUCAUUAGCUUAAUAAUUGUAAGCUUGUAUGAAUGGUACGACGAAACAUUAACUGUCUCUUAUUUAUUAUUAGAACUUAAAUUUUUAGUAAGAAUGCUUAAAUUUAUUUAUUAGACGAGAAGACCCUAUAGAUCUUUAUUAAUAAUAUUUUAAUAUUGUUUAGUUUAUUUGUUUUUUAAAAAAUUUUUAUUUUUGUUGGGGUGACAUGGAGAUAUUUAUAACUCAUUAUUUUAUUUUACAUUAAUUUAUGUUUAAUUGACCUUUAUUUAUUGUUAUAAGAUUAAGAUACCUUAGGGAUAACAGCGUAAUUUCUUUUGAGAGUUCUUAUUGACAAGGAAGAUUGCGACCUCGAUGUUGGAUUAAGAUUAAAUUUUGGUGCAGAAGCUAAAAAAUUAGGUCUGUUCGACCUUUAAAUUCUUACA